CACAAAAUUGAAUUUUCUUAUUAAUUCCUAGCAUUUACUCGAAAAAAAAAAAACCGAAGAAGGAAUUAAGACAGACAUAAAACCCUAGCCCCUUUGUAGCCGCCUCCUCUCUCUUUUCCCUUCAUUUUCAUUCAACUUUCAUGUUUUCAAGACAAAAUUUCGAUUCUCUCUCUCUACCAAUCUACACGGCUCCAAGGAUCUCAAGAUUGAAGUUUUCCCACCCCUAAAUCCACUCACACGUAGAGGAGUGAAGAUGAUGAAUAUGGUAUUACCGUACCAAUGUUGUAUGCCAAUGGCCAGAGGUUCACUCUGUCCUGUUGCUACAUUUGAGUAUUGUACCAAGAAGACCAACCUCUGCUUUUCUUCUCCAUUGCUUCUUGGGCGAAAGAUGCCUUCUAUUACUGGAUCAUCAUCGUCAUUACUGACCCAUGUUUCUGAGUCACAUCCAUUGAUGGCAGUUCCAAAAAAACGCACUUCUAUAUCAAAAAAACGAAUUCGUAAAAAUAUUUGGAAAAUGGAGGGGUAUUGGGUAGCAUGGAAAGCUUUUUCUUUAGCGAAAUCUCUUUCUACAGGGAAUUCAAAAAGUUUCUUGUACAACAAGAAAUAAAUAAAGAUGCCUUUAGUGUGUGAGUGGGUUUUGUCUGAUGUUGUUAAGGUAUUAUGUACAUAUUGUUUAGAACUAAAUUGUGGUAUUACUCCUACCCAAAACUAGUAUUGUCUUUCUGAUUCCAUUGAAUUAUUGUUUGAGUAAUCAUCUUCUCUGAUUGGCACCCA